GGACUACUCGGGUUUCUAAUCCCGUUCGCUCCCCUGGCUUUCGUGUCUCAGCGUCAGCGCAUCCCCAGCAGUCUGUUUUCACCUUCGGCGUUCCAGACGAUAUCUACGCAUUUCACCGCUCCACCGUCUGUUCCGACUGCCCCUGGAUGGCUCAAGACCGCCAGUAUACCCAGCCGUUCCCCGGUUGAGCCGGGGGAUUUCACAAGGUACUUAACGGUCCGCCUACACACGCUUUAAGCCCAGUGAUUCCGCCUAACGCUCGGCACCUCUGUCUUACCGCGGCUGCUGGCAC
rnacentral:rRNA from 1 species